AUUGAACGCUGGCGGCAUGCUUUACACAUGCAAGUCGAACGGUAACAGGCCGCAAGGUGCUGACGAGUGGCGAACGGGUGAGUAAUGCAUCGGAACGUGCCCAGUCGUGGGGGAUAACGCAGCGAAAGCUGCGCUAAUACCGCAUACGAUCUCUGGAUGAAAGCGGGGGACCGAAAGGCCUCGCGCGAUUGGAGCGGCCGAUGUCAGAUUAGGUAGUUGGUGGGGUAAAGGCCCACCAAGCCAACGAUCUGUAGCUGGUCUGAGAGGACGACCAGCCACACUGGGACUGAGACACGGCCCAGACUCCUACGGGAGGCAGCAGUGGGGAAUUUUGGACAAUGGGCGCAAGCCUGAUCCAGCAAUGCCGCGUGCAGGAAGAAGGCCUUCGGGUUGUAAACUGCUUUUGUACGGAAAGAAACGCUCUGGGUUAAUACCUCGGGGUAAUGACGGUACCUGAAGAAUAAGCACCGGCUAACUACGUGCCAGCAGCCGCGGUAACAC
rnacentral:rRNA from 1 species